CAGCGGGAGUAGCAAUACUUGCCGGCGACCGGCGCACGGGUGCGUAACACGUAUACAAUCUGCCUUCUACUGGGGGGAUAAGCCUUUCGAAAAGAGAGAUUAAUACCCCAUAAUAAAUGGAAAUAGCAUUAUUUAUUUUGAAAGAUCCGUCGGUAGAAGAUGAGUAUGCGUCUGAUUAGCUAGUUGGUGAGGUAAUGGCUCACCAAGGCUACGAUCAGUAGGGGAUCUGAGAGGACUACCCCCCACACUGGUACUGAGACACGGACCAGACUCC
rnacentral:rRNA from 1 species